rnacentral:rRNA from 1 species
CAAUAGCGUAUAUUAAAGUUGUUGCAGUUAAAAAGCUCGUAGUUGAACUUCAGACCUGGCCGGGCGGUCUACCUCGCGGUAUGUACCAUCUGGCCGGGUCUUACCCCUUGGUGGGCCGGUAUGCCCUUCACUGGGUGUGCCGGGGAACCGGGACCUUUACCUUGAGAAAAUUAGAGUGUUCAAAGCAGGCCUAUGCCCGAAUACAUUAGCAUGGAAUAAUAAAAUAGGACGUGCGGUUCUAUUUUGUUGGUUUCUAGAGUCGCCGUAAUGAUUAAUAGGGAUAGUUGGGGGCAUUCGUAUUCAGUUGCUAGAGGUGAAAUUCUUGGAUUUACUGAAGACGAACUAUUGCGAANGNAUUUGGNAAGGAUGUUUNCAUUA